AGCAGCCGCGGUAAUUCCAGCUCCAAUAGCGUAUAUUAAAGUUGUUGCAGUUAAAAAGCUCGUAGUUGAAUUUCGGGGUCAGCAGGUUGGUCGUGCCACUGGUAUGUACUGGCCUUGCUGAUUCCUCCUUCUUGUAGAACCGUAAUGCCAUUAAGUUGGUGUUGCGGGAAAACAGGACUGUUACUUUGAAAAAAUUAGAGUGUUUAAAGCAGGCUAACGCUUGAAUACAUUAGCAUGGAAUAAUGAAAUAGGACGACGAUCCUAUUUUGUUGGUCUCUAGGAUUGACGUAAUGAUUAAUAGGGAUAGUUGGGGGCAUUAGUAUUCAAUUGUCAGAGGUGAAAUUCUUGGAUUUAUUGAAGACUGACUACUGCGAAAGCAUUUGCCAAGGAUGUUUUCAUUAAUCAAGAACGAAAGUUAGGGGAUCGAAGACGAUCAGAUACCGUCGUAGUCUUAACCAUAAACUAUGCCGACUAGGGAUCGGAUGAUGUUAAUUUUUUAAUGACUCA
rnacentral:rRNA from 1 species